rnacentral:lncRNA from 1 species
GACAUUAGCUUGCCAUUUCAACAAAUGAAAAUGCCCCUCACUCAUAUAAUAGAAGGAUAAGGAAGAAAAAAGAAUAAGGAGAAAGGAGAGGUGGGGGAAGAAAGAAUCAUCAGUAAGGAAGGGGCAGAUGUGGAGGGAGCUACUAUGGAGGGAGGGCAGGGUCACGAAGGUCGGCAUGGAGGAGGAUGACGACAUCAAUUUGCCUCAUGAGUA